rnacentral:lncRNA from 1 species
UGAAACUUUGGUCUUUUGCUCCUAGAUUAAUAUCACCUGAAGUACUUUAACAACAGCAACAUGAGCACCUGCAAGGACAACACAGAAUUAAUGUGACAAGACUAUUAGCUUAAGAGGCAUUCUUUUUAUCUGAUUCAGGAUCAGCAUAUCCAAAAAUGAACUGAGCUUCUGUAGAAACAGUCGUUGCAUAUUUGAUACAUCAGCUGAUGAAUAUGAAGGCCAACUGGAAAACUCAGCAAAAUACUGUCUGCAGGAGCGUGCCGAUUGUUCCACAGCUGGGCAGCAGUACUUCAUCAGCACACAGGAAUUAAAAUCAAAAAACAAACAGAGACCAAGCAAUCAGAAGAACCCUACUCUCAGGUAAGUAUUAGCCAGUUCAUUUUGGGAAACAUGAGUUUUACCUAAAUUCACGUAGAUGAACAGUAAGUUCUCCUUUUUUAUUUCAUAAUAUGACUGUAAGUGUAUCAAUA